UUCGCAAUGCCCGAAAGGGUGACGAAGCGACGCCGCGUGGGUGAGGAAGGCCUUCGGGUUGUAAAGCCCUGUCAGGAGUUAAGAAAUGUAAGUGCGCUAAUAUCGCAUUUAUUUGACGAAGGCUCCAAAGGAAGCCACGGCUAACUCUGUGCCAGCAGCCGCGGUAAUACAGAGGUGGCAAGCGUUGUUCGGAAUUAUUGGGCGUAAAGAGCACGUAGGUGGGUUUGUAAGUCAGAUGUGAAAGCCUUCUGUUCAACGGAAGAAUUGCAUCUGAAACUGCGGGCCUUGAGUGUAGGAGGGGAGAAUGGAACUUCUGGUGGAGCGGUGAAAUGCGUAGAUAUCAGAAGGAACGCCGGCGGCGAAAGCGAUUCUCUGGCCUAUUACUGACACUCAGUGUGCGAAAGCUAGGGGAGCAAACGGGAUUAGAUACCCCGGUAGUCCUAGCCGUAAACGAUGGGCACUAAGUAGAGGGGUUUU
rnacentral:rRNA from 1 species